UGGAAUGGAUGUGCUGCCUGAAGGAA
rnacentral:piRNA from 1 species